AGAGAGAGGGAGGAAGAGAGAGAGAGAGGGUGAGAGAGGAUAGAGAGAGGGGGAGGAAGAGAGAGGGAGAGAGGAAGAGAGAGAGAAUAUAUGCAGCAGCUCAAAAUAUGAGCCCUUUUUGCAUGCAGAGAUAUAGGGCUAACGGUGCAGCUCAAUGGCCAGUCGUGAAAGGAGAUAGCAAAUAACGUUUUGUAUUGGGGUGGUCAGGAGGGUGUCUGGUCUGCACAGACUGUUUAUUAUUGUUAUUAUAUCGCAUUGCUGCUUCUUCACCCAGAUUGGACAUCAUCAUCACACAUGGAUCUUGUGCAAAUGUAAAAUAAUACCACUUGGUUCUCUUCCAUAUUUAUACAGGGAAGCAAUGCACAUGUACUGUGCCAUCACAAGUGAGUGAUGCUUUAGUCAACAAAUGUCUCAGUAUGUAAGCCAAUCAUUUACUAAAUGCGUUUGGCCACAUAGCACAAGUCAUUCUUCUGUUACGUGCUUUCACAAAAGAAAUGAUGAAAUGCUUUUUCAAAUGACCACUCACUCAUUCUAUCUGUAAGGGUAAAUAAACAAUAUUCCACAAAUGAUCGAAACUCAGCCAAGAGGGGGAGAUGAGGAGACCGAAGCCAGUGUGCAUGAGUGUGAUGUUGUAGUGAGUGCGGUUCAGAGGUCCAGAGCACACAUAGGUGAGAGUGACCAGCCUCAGCCCACUGGCUGCGAGGACUGAGAGGGCCGGUCAGGCUCAGAGAUCUCCGGCUAAGAGAAUGCAGUAACACUAACAUUCCAGGAAGUGGUUUAGAGUCUACUGCCGCCUCAAAGUGAUCCGGUCACCAACCAGUUCCUGAGGAAAAAUAAAUAUUAGAAGUGGGUUUACUCAGCCAUGGACAAAGUCCGUCAGAAAUACCCCAUUUGUACGACAUUCCAACACACACACACACACACACACACACACACACACACACACACACACACACACAUACACACACACACACACACACACACAGAGAAGCAUCUUCCCCAGGCACAGCAGCCCCUGUGUAAAACAGAAACCUAAUUCUCUCUUAUAAAUAUUGACUGACGGCUGGCUGCGUUUCUCCCUGCGAGGGAGCAAAGCCAGAAAGAGUGAUAAAAGGUGCCCAACUUCCGCAAAGUUACACACAUACCUCUGUGCCAAUGUUCUAAAGAGUCCCUGUUCUACCCCUUCAGAUCCCUCCAGUAGUCCUCCUCCUCCUCCUACUCCUCCUCUUCCUCCCCCUCUUCCUCCUCCUCUCACUGUUCCUUCCACUCUCAUUGUUCUCCACAAAAAUAGGAUUUGUUUUUAUUUCGAGCUCAUUUAAUGACCUGCCUUUUCGUGUCACUUUUCCAACCACUACCGAGACGACGUGAGACGUGGACUGAACCUAUAUAGAGAGGAAGCAUUUCAAGAUAUCAAGAUGCAAUUUUUUCUUUUCUUUUUUUUUUUCUUUUUUGAUGCAUUGAGGUGUAUUUAAUGGUGUUGACAAACCAACAAUAAUGAAAUGAUGCAUUCUUGUAGAAAUAUUUUUAAAAGACCCUUUUGCAAUUAAAUUAUUUAAGAAAUAUACUGUC